UAAUUUCUAGCGCCCCUCAUGAAAAAUCCGGUUCGGAAUGCAGACAAGAAUGCUGAGGAUUUCAGGAGUCCGACACUGUCAAAAAUUUAAAGAAUUUUUACUCGCGAAUUCGCCGUAGUAACGGAUUUCUCGGGACAUCCUUGUUCUCAUUGGUCCAAUGCCUGCCAUUCAUUUGAAAGGCCCAUUCAUAAAUUUACCAGUGAGAAGCAGAAGUCAGCAAAACUCACAGAAGGCGAUGGUUCAGUAGGUUUUGAUUAAUUAGUCGGAUUAUAUUCGAUCUUAUGUAUUGUUUACAUGUCGGAUUAGUCAAUAAAAACCAGUAUCGAUACUAAUUAUGACGUCA
rnacentral:lncRNA from 1 species